GCGGCAGAGCCUGUGCUGAGGCCUUGCCUCCGUGUCUGCUCUUGGAACUGCCGUGGUUCCGGGCAGUGCCGGGUUUCGGGGCCAUGGCUGCUGCCGUAGCCCGCACUGCUGUGGGUAAGCUGCUGGAAGCUGCACCCGCCUGCCAAACAGGGGCUUCUGCACCAUGUCCUGAACCCCCUCCCGUGGGGAUCCAUGGGCUGGGGACACUGAGGUAUGGCAGCCCACGGCAGAGUCUGUUCCCAUCUGCAUCCUCCAGGCAGACGAAGGCUCACAGCCCCAGCAUUCCAUCUUCCAGGAACGAGAUCACAGGAUAAGAGAGCUCUUGCACCCUCUCACACUUCCCUUCUCAACAGGCUUUUGACUAUGUGCUCAGACUUGAAGGAGUUAUUUCAGGGAAGAGAAACACAAAAGAUUUGCAAAACAUGCACUUUAAAAAUCAUCUUUCAUCAAUCGUGAUUUUAACUGCUGCAUCUCCUCAAGAUACACUGACUGUAAAAUACUUUACCUCUGUACACCACAGAUUAAAUACCUGAAAACCAAGGACCUCUCAGGUAUACCAGUGAAAAGUGGGCUUCAUUGAAUGAGGAACACCCAGGAACAUUUAAAAGGAACCAUUUAUUAAAUCAAACUGUUAUUUUAACAGUUACAUAAGUUACACAGCAUGUUUAAGUCAAAAGAUUUCACAAGGAAAAAAAAAAAACUUUAAACUUUUAUUAUGCAGGCAAAAAUAGUACCACACAAUAUGUACCUGGGAGGGAAGAAGGGAAGGGGAAUCUCUAAACAUUCAAAUAAGGCCAUAAUUAUUUAAAAACAACAAUAAAACAAUAAUAAACCCCCCCCAAAGAUCCAUUUGCUUUUCAGUGUGUUCAGUGCUGCUAACUAUAUGUACUUUUAGUGUACAGGUGUGAUCGAGGCAGUGAUAUUUUGAUAGCUAGGUUUAAUGUUUUAAAACACUAUCAGAAGUGGAAUAAGGCUCAUUAGUACAUACAGUUGCCCUUGGAAUGUCAAUCUCAGUUGCCUUCAUCAACUUAAAAUUCACAAAGUGCACAGUUAAGAUAUGCCAAAAAAUUGAAACUGCUACUCUACCAACAGCUGCCCAUGCUUAAUACUUAGUGGUCUAUUGGAACAAAGUAUGUUCUUUCAAAAGAGAUGUGUAAGAAAAGCCACUGUAAAACAUUUAGUUCUGAAGAUGCACUAGGAGCUCUCUGUAAACUGAAAAGUAGAAAAACAUGGAUUAAUUAUGUUAAGAAAAGAAUACAAAAAACACUAGAAAUGACCAUCAAACUUCCAAAGAACAAGCACCACAAUGGACAUUAGCAUUCGAUUUUGCAGUGUACAGCAAGGUAAUAAUUUCACUCUAGCCAAUCUACUUCAUCAAAUUCUGAAUCAUCUUCUGAAUCACUGUAUUCCACAGCGAUGCGACGGGAGAGGAUGGUGGCGACAUCGUUCUCAAUGCGCUCGUGCUUCGCUUCUUGUUCCCGCUGCUCCUCCACUUUGCGGAGCUGAAUACCUGGAGAACAUCAGAGCACAAACAUGUCACCCUCCUCCUUCACCACUGCAAAUGUAUUUAGGUCACGAUUCACAGAAUGCUUUGCAAUCAAAAAUGAAUACACAGGAUGCUGUCCUGCUCAGACAGAAUCUUUUUUGUCAAGCUUUUAAAGAGAAGAAUGUCAGAAUUGCAGAGGCAGACAAGAUCUGGAGUCCUUCUACUAUAGUAUCCCGGUUCUGAUUUUCCAUUAAAAUACAUUUUUAGUAGCACUCUAAGUGAUUAAGCCAUUUUUGCUACUUGCAUUUUCUAGACUCUUUAUUCCUAUUUUUAAUGAAAGUUUAUAGCUAUUUGAGUAUCCUAACAAGACAGGACCUCUUGUAACUCUGUUUUUUAUCAUGCAAUGAUUUGGUUUGGGAUAAAGUAUUACUUGGAGAUCAAAGCUGUGGUAACUCAAGCCUUUGUGUUUUAGGUAUGGUUUGGUCAAAAGUGUUUUCAGCAAUCACCUAGAUUAUACCAGCAGGCUCUAUUUUCUCACUUUUGCUGACAUUCUUUAUGCAUGUUCAUGCACCCCUGUUGUACUCAGCUGUCGUCAACAUUUCUUUAGACUUCAAUUAUGUUAUCAAUUCAUGUGCAUAUAGACAUACAAAAAUAUUUUGAAUUAAUGCUAUAGCCUAUCUGCUGAUAUUACAGUACCAUACAGAUUCUGUGCUAUGCUGCAGUGCAGGGGAAGAGAAAAAGAAUGUAGGACUUGAAACAUUUGAGAGAUCUUAACUACUGAAAGACGCCCCACCAUCAAACAGCAAUACACACCAAUGUGCGCUCUGAUGCCAGUGGGGAUUUUCCUGGCCAUGGGCACCAUAAGCUGAAAGAUACAGCUGGCACACACAGCUCCUCAUGACAUCAUCAGGAAAACACUGCCCUGCAGCUCUGCCCUUCCCUUGCACUCUGCCAUGGGCACCUUGCAAUGCAAAGGCUGCUCCACUACUGCACUGAGAUCAGUGUCCAGAUCAGAUACAACAGCUUGAAGUUCUUCAGCAAUGAUUUCUGAACAUUACUCAUAUCUUGUAAUACAGUGAUAGAUGAUCAAAAUUCUAAUGCCAAUUGAUGCCAUUUCUCUUUUA